GCCAGGAUGGCCGAGUGGUUAAGGCGUCAGAUUGCGAUUCUGAUACACGCAUGUGUGCGUGGGUUCAAAUCCCACUCCUGGCU